rnacentral:rRNA from 1 species
UAAGGAAUAUUGGUCAAUGGAGGCAACUCUGAACCAGCCAUGCCGCGUGCAGGAAGACAGCCCUCUGGGUCGUAAACUGCUUUUAUUCGGGAAUAAACCUUGUUACGUGUAACAAGCUGAAUGUACCGAAGGAAUAAGGAUCGGCUAACUCCGUGCCAGCAGCCGCGGUAAUACGGAGGAUCCAAGCGUUAUCCGGAUUUAUUGGGUUUAAAGGGUGCGUAGGCGGCUUAUUAAGUCAGGGGUGAAAGACGGUGGCUCAACCAUCGCAGUGCCCUUGAUACUGAUGAGCUUGAAUACACUAGAGGUAGGCGGAAUGUGACAAGUAGCGGUGAAAUGCAUAGAUAUGUCACAGAACACCGAUUGCGAAGGCAGCUUACUAUGGUGUGAUUGACGCUGAGGCACGAAAGCGUGGGGAUCAAACA